UGGUGAGCUCUUAAUUGCCAAAUAAACAUUUGCCCAGGGUGGGGCUUGGUGCUCAGGGUUAAGUAUUAAAUGGGCUGAAAGUCAGAGGACCCUGUGGCAGCCCUGUGGGGCCCAGGCAGCCUGGGGUGGGGGAUUCCAGCCCGGCCUGGGGUGAAGGCCAGCUCAGGGACUGGGGAGGACAGAGGCAGCGGGAAAUCCUGGAAGUAUGAGGCUCACGGGAAGCCACCAGAGGUCACCCCAGAGACGACCCCCAAUGCAGUGCCUGGAGCAGCAGCAUCGCUGACGUGUCCCAAGGCUGCCUGGCUGGCCAAGUGGGGCUCGGAACUCAUUGCGCAGCAAGGGUGACCACAGCCACUGGAGACCAGCCUUGAAAGUUUCGUCCUUUUGCCACAUUGUGUCCACUCAGAAGGAAAGCUGAGCAUGAAGAAGGUCCCUGGGUUUCAGGAGACAAGACACAGACCAAAGACUGGGACGGUCAAGGCCGAGGCAGCCGAGCCACUCUGUUUCCCCGACGGGAACAUCUUCCCCAAAUCGUGGCAUUGGCCCUGAUGUGUCUUCAGUUGUCACCUUGUCCCAGGUGUGAUUCCUGGGACCACCCUGCAAUCAGGUGCAGAGUGUCCCCCACAAGGAGCCUUCCAGCUGCCCUGCCAGUGGCCCCACUUCCCACUGUUAUCUGUUACUUCAGGAAUAAUUUUGUCACUUCAGGAAUAAGUGGGAACUUCUGUGACUGGUUUCUUUUCACCCAGCAAACGCCUUUGAAGCCACCCUGUUGCCACUGGUGGUAUUCCACCGUGAGGCUGCUCCACAGCUGGAUUAUCUGUUCUCCCACUGAGGGACACCUGGGUUGUCUCCAGGUUUUGGCUUUUACAAAUAAAACUGCUGUGCACA